CCUACGGGCGGCUGCAGUGGGGAAUAUUGCGCAAUGGGGGGAACCCUGACGCAGCAACGCCGCGUGAAGGAAGAAGGCCUUCGGGUUGUAAACUUCUUUGAUGAGGGACGAAACAAAUGACGGUACCUCAGGAACAAGCCACGGCUAACUACGUGCCAGCAGCCGCGGUAAUACGUAGGUGGCGAGCGUUGUCCGGAAUUACUGGGUGUAAAGGGCGUGUAGGCGGGGAUGUAAGUCAGAUGUGAAAUACCGAGGCUUAACUUCGGGGGUGCAUCUGAAACUAUGUUUCUUGAGUACUGGAGAGGGAAGCGGAAUUCCUAGUGUAGCGGUGAAAUGCGUAGAUAUUAGGAGGAACACCAGUGGCGAAGGCGGCUUCCUGGACAGUAACUGACGCUGAGGCGCGAAAGCGUGGGUAGCGAACAGGAUUAGAUACCCCAGUAGUC
rnacentral:rRNA from 1 species